rnacentral:rRNA from 1 species
GACGAACGCUGGCGGCGUGCUUAACACAUGCAAGUCGAACGUGAUUUUUGUGGAAAUUCUUUCGGGAAUGGAAAUGAAAUGAAAGUGGCGAACGGGUGAGUAACACGUGAGCAGCCUACCUUACACAGGGGGAUAGCCGUUGGAAACGACGAUUAAUACCGCAUGAGACCACAGAAUCGCAUGAUAUAGGGGUCAAAGAUUUAUCGGUGUAAGAAGGGCUCGCGUCUGAUUAGCUAGUUGGAAGGGUAAAGGCCUACCAAGGCGACGAUCAGUAGCCGGUCUGAGAGGAUGAACGGCCACAUUGGAACUGAGACACGGUCCAAACUCCUACGGGAGGCAGCAGUGGGGAAUAUUGCACAAUGGGGGGAACCCUGAUGCAGCGACGCCGCGUGAGCGAAGAAGGUUUUCGAAUCGUAAAGCUCUGU